rnacentral:rRNA from 1 species
AGAGUUUGAUCCUGGCUCAGGAUGAACGCUGGCGGCGUGCCUAAUACAUGCAAGUCGAGCGAACGGACGAGAAGCUUGCUUCUCUGAUGUUAGCGGCGGACGGGUGAGUAACACGUGGAUAACCUACCUAUAAGACUGGGAUAACUUCGGGAAACCGGAGCUAAUACCGGAUAAUAUUUUGAACCGCAUGGUUCAAAAGUGAAAGACGGUCUUGCUGUCACUUAUAGAUGGAUCCGCGCUGCAUUAGCUAGUUGGUAAGGUAACGGCUUACCAAGGCAACGAUGCAUAGCCGACCUGAGAGGGUGAUCGGCCACACUGGAACUGAGACACGGUCCAGACUCCUACGGGAGGCAGCAGUAGGGAAUCUUCCGCAAUGGGCGAAAGCCUGACGGAGCAACGCCGCGUGAGUGAUGAAGGUCUUCGGAUCGUAAAACUCUGUUAUUAGGGAAGAACAUAUGUGUAAGUAACUGUGCACAUCUUGACGGUACCUAAUCAGAAAGCCACGGCUAACUACGUGCCAGCAGCCGCGGUAAUACGUAGGUGGCAAGCGUUAUCCGGAAUUAUUGGGCGUAAAGCGCGCGUAGGCGGUUUUUUAAGUCUGAUGUGAAAGCCCACGGCUCAACCGUGGAGGGUCAUUGGAAACUGGAAAACUUGAGUGCAGAAGAGGAAAGUGGAAUUCCAUGUGUAGCGGUGAAAUGCGCAGAGAUAUGGAGGAACACCAGUGGCGAAGGCGACUUUCUGGUCUGUAACUGACGCUGAUGUGCGAAAGCGUGGGGAUCAAACAGGAUUAGAUACCCUGGUAGUCCACGCCGUAAACGAUGAGUGCUAAGUGUUAGGGGGUUUCCGCCCCUUAGUGCUGCAGCUAACGCAUUAAGCACUCCGCCUGGGGAGUACGACCGCAAGGUUGAAACUCAAAGGAAUUGACGGGGACCCGCACAAGCGGUGGAGCAUGUGGUUUAAUUCGAAGCAACGCGAAGAACCUUACCAAAUCUUGACAUCCUUUGACAACUCUAGAGAUAGAGCCUUCCCCUUCGGGGGACAAAGUGACAGGUGGUGCAUGGUUGUCGUCAGCUCGUGUCGUGAGAUGUUGGGUUAAGUCCCGCAACGAGCGCAACCCUUAAGCUUAGUUGCCAUCAUUAAGUUGGGCACUCUAAGUUGACUGCCGGUGACAAACCGGAGGAAGGUGGGGAUGA